rnacentral:rRNA from 1 species
CCUACGGGAGGCUGCAGUGAGGAAUAUUGGUCAAUGGACGAGAGUCUGAACCAGCCAAGUAGCGUGAAGGAUGACUGCCCUAUGGGUUGUAAACUUCUUUUAUAUGGGAAUAAAAUGUUACAAGUGUGGGAUUUUGUAUGUACCAUAUGAAUAAGGAUAGGCUAACUACGUGCCAGCAGCCGCGGUAAUACGGAGGAUCCGAGCGUUAUCCGGAUUUAUUGGGUUUAAAGGGAGUGUAGGUGGGUUGGUAUGUCAGUUGUGAAAGUAUUGGGCUCAACCGUACAAUUGCAGUUGAAACUAGCAGUCUUGAGUACAGUAGAGGUGGGCGGAAUUCGUGGUGUAGCGGUGAAAUGCGUAGAUAUCACGAAGAACUCCGAUGGCGAAGGCAGCUCACUGGACUGCAACUGACACUGAGGCUCGAAAGUGUGGGUAUCAAACAGGAUUAGAUACCCUUGUAGUC